GAUGAACGCUGGCGGCGUGCCUAAUACAUGCCAGUCGAGCGAACGGACGAGAAGCUUGCUUCUCUGAUGUUAGCGGCGGACGGGUGAGUAACACGUGGAUAACCUACCUAUAAGACUGGGAUAACUUCGGGAAACCGUAGCUAAUACCGGAUAAUAUUUUGAACCGCAUGGUUCAAAAGUGAAAGACGGUCUUGCUGUCACUUAUAGAUGGAUCCGCGCUGCAUUAGCUAGUUGGUAAGGUAACGGCUUACCAAGGCAACGAUGCAUAGCCGACCUGAGAGGGUGAUCGGCCACACUGGAACUGAGACACGGUCCAGACUCCUACGGGAGGCAGCAGUAGGGAAUCUUCCGCAAUGGGCGAAAGCCUGACGGAGCAACGCCGCGUGAGUGAUGAAGGUCUUCGGAUCGUAAAACUCUGUUAUUAGGGAAGAAUAUAUGUGUAAGUAACUGUGCACAUCUUGACGGUACCUAAUCAGAAAGCCACGGCUAACUACGUG
rnacentral:rRNA from 1 species